rnacentral:miRNA from 1 species
UUACUAGGGAAUUUUGAAACGC